AACGAUGCAAACAUUAUCUAAUGGCAAUGAUGAACUGCAGGUCAAAAACAGUUGGUGGGAUGUUUUAGCCCCCCCAGGGAGAGACACAACUCAUUGUUCAUGAGCUAAUUUGUUUUGUCACGUAGCAAAAGUCACCACCUGCAGGAAUUUGCAGUGAGCACGUGAGCGCUUGAGUAACACGAUCCGUAAAACCAGGUGUAUCACUUGAGCAUUCCUUAUGAUGUAUAUUCCCAGUAAGGCAACUUACGUAAUGCAGAAGGAUAUCAUUAAUAUUUGCAUCUACCUGACGUGUACUUUUGCACGACUUCGAAGAGGCACUGUGACAAACAUGUUUGUACCAGUUGUCGUUGGGGCCUAGCACCGUGGAGCGGCCUCCAACCGGAGAGACCUGGGGGCUCCAGUCGCGGAGCCUGCGAAGCUGCGGACUCACCAUCGUGGGGCUGGCCAGCCUCGGAGCGUGGGGAGCAGUGGUGGCUCGCUGCUGCGGCCCUACCCCGGAGCUCGGAGGCACCAGUGAACUGUGACAUCGGGAGCUCGCGGGUCCGGGUGGGAUACCACUUUUCGGAGCUCCCGCAACACAACUUCUCCAGCCCGUGUCGCGGGGUUGGAACGACCUGGCGCGGGGCCGUACAUCGCCCCGCGCGGCCUUAAAUGGCCGUGGGACUUACCAUCGCCCGCCUGGGGCUUCGA